GACGAACCGUCCAAACGUUAUUCGGAAUUACUGGGCUUAAAGGGUGCGUAGGCGGCGCGGAAAGUUGGGUGUGAAAUCCCUCGGCUCAACCGAGGAACUGCGCCCAAUACUACCGUGCUUGAGGGAGAUAGAGGUGAGCGGAACUUAGGGUGGAGCGGUGAAAUGCGUUGAUAUCCUAAGGAACACCGGUGGCGAAGGCGGCCUGCUGGGCAGUAGCUGACGCUGAUGCGCGACAGCGUGGGGAGCAAACAGG
rnacentral:rRNA from 1 species